GGGAAGGCAGAUGUUGCACUCAGUGAAGCUGAGCUGGAAUGAUACUUGCAAGAUUCUGCAGGAUUCCAGCAAAGCAGUGUUUUCCUGUUGAAGCAAACUUAGUUGAAGAGCAUAAAGAAAUAGGUAUGAGAGGGGAAGAAAAUCACUUCUGCCACAGUGGUCUGAACUACUCUGAAGCAUUUCUCUGCAGGCUGCUUCCUAGGAGAGAAUGUCAGGUUUGCAAAUACUACCUUUGUGGCUUUUGCCCAGCUGAAUUAUUUACAAAUACCCGUUCUGAUUUAGGUCCUUGUGAAAAAAUACAUGAUGAAAACCUACGCAAACAGUAUGAGAAGAGCUCUCGGUUUAUGAAGGUGGGCUAUGAGAGAGACUUCCUGCGCUAUUUGCAGAGCUUGCUUGCAGAGGUGGAGCGCAGGAUCCGGAGGGGCCAUGCUCGUUUGGCACUGUCACAGAACCAACAGUCUUCUGGGGGAGCGGGACCUACUGGUAAAAACGAAGAGAAGAUUCAGGUGUUAACUGACAAAAUUGAUGUACUGCUUCAACAGAUUGAAGAACUAGGUUCAGAAGGGAAGGUGGAAGAAGCACAAGGAAUGAUGAAACUCGUUGAACAGUUAAAGGAAGAGAGAGAACUGCUGAGGUCUACGACUUCAACAAUUGAGAGCUUUGCAGCCCAGGAAAAACAAAUGGAAGUUUGUGAAGUUUGUGGAGCCUUUUUAAUUGUAGGAGAUGCACAGUCCAGGGUAGAUGACCACUUGAUGGGAAAGCAGCACAUGGGUUAUGCCAAAAUAAAAGCUACUGUAGAAGAUUUAAAAGAAAAGUUACGAAAAAGAACAGAAGAGCCUGACCGUGAUGAAAGGUUGAAAAAAGAGAAGCUAGAACGGGAGGAGAGAGAGAAGGAGAGGGAGCGGGAGAGAGAAGAGCGGGAAAGGAAGAGACGACGUGAAGAGGAAGAAAAGGAAAAAGAGAGGGCUCGUGACAGAGAGAGACGUAAAAGGAGCCGAUCACGUAGCAGGCAUUCAAGCAGGACAUCUGACAGGAGGUGCAGCCGCUCACGAGACCACAAAAGGUCAAGAAGCAGAGAAAGAAGGCGGAGCAGGAGUCGUGACCGGAGGAGAAGCAGAAGCCAUGAUAGAUCAGAAAGGAAACACAGAUCUCGUAGUAGGGACAGGAGACGGUCAAAAAGCCGGGAUCGGAAGUCCUACAAGCACAGAAGCAAAAGCAGAGAGAGAGAACAAGACAGGAAGUCAAAAGAAAAAGUCUUUUGGAACUUCUGAAGGAACGUAAUACUUCUGGCUCUGGUGGGGAGCUGACUAAUGGCCAGUCCGAAACAGCCACCCCACUUCAUGGGCUGAUCAUCAGUAAUGGAUGAAACAAUUGUGUUUCUAAGGACAGAAGAUAAGAUUAUUGGACUGACUACUAGUCCUCUGCGGGGAAACAAGACUACUAUUCCUCAGUGGAUCCACGUGUGCACCGGAGAUACCUUUAAGACACAAAAAGAAGACUUUUUAACAAGGUUAGUUAGAGUGCAAUCUACCUGCGGAGUUGCCAAAUCAAGGGCAGACAGACCCAAACUGACUUAGUCUUUCAGUGAGCUGGGUGACAUUGCCGUGUGCUUUCUCCAAGCACCCUGCACUGGAUGUGCUUCUGCAGGUGAAUCCUCACUACUGGUGGUCAUUAGGCAGUUGCCUUCAUUUCUCUGUGAGGGCUUUACCCUGUCCUUUGGUGUAGUGUGUUAUAAAGCAAAGAAGUCGGGAUGUCGCUGUUCUUUUAAAACUUAAUUUCUUGCUUUUUGUCUCCUGGAAUAUUAAAGUCUGUUAUACCAGUCUAGGUGAUAAUGUUAUUUAAAAUAGCUUUUUCAGAGUGUUCGAUCUGUGCGCUCCUGUGUUGGAGAUAUAUCUGUCUAUUUAUAUUAUUUACUUUGCCCGGAUAGCAGGGAGUAAUCAGAAAAAAGAGCAUGAAUGUUGUUCUGUAUGAUGACAUCUGAGAGGUUGGUUUUCUGGAUUUUUUUUUUUUUUUUUUCUCUCCAGAGUGUCUUUACUGAUCAAGAGGUGAAUAUUAUGGUGUGAAAUAAUACAGCAGGAAUUGGUAUUUUUAGUAAAUUUGAAAAUACUGAAUUUACAGAUGAGGCACGCAGCUCUAAUACUGAAUGUCUUUCUUCCCAUGGAAAUAUUUUUACUUCUGGCUUCCUUCCUUCUUUGAAGAUUGAGUUUUUAGUGUAGCAAAUGCUUCAGUGAGCUUCCCAAUUCAUGAUGAAAUUGUGGGCUCAUUCCCCCACAUCUUGCUGUUUCUUUGCCUUUGAAAAAAAGUUGCUUUUUAUAUGUCUUCCAAGCUGUCUCCCCAAGUCCUUUUAAUGAGUUGUCUAUAAGUGAUGGCUGUUUUUAUAAAAUUGAGAAUUAACAACGCUGACAAAUGUGCAGCUUCAAAUUUAAUUUUGAUUGUCACUGAUCUCCACCUGCAGAGCUGUCAGUGCUUAAUAUUGUUUCCCAAAGUGUUUGAUAGUUUGAGAUUGCUAGUUUUCAAUUGGCAAGUAUCAAUUUCUUUGAUUAUGCAGUGAAGCACUGUCCCAUCACUCUUUCCUGAUUCUCUUUCAAGACCCAUAAUUAACAAGAAUUGUAAACCAAAGCAAACCAUACACAAUCAGAAAUCAAAACUUGCGGACCAAAAGAGUCCCGUAACAAGUAAGGAAGCCAUGCACCAUAAUUACACAUGUGCCUAACCUCUUUCCCCCAAAUUUGUUCAUUUUGACAGAGAGCUGAGUAGCUGCCUCUGUUUCUCCUCUUCCCCCACCCUGUACUGUCCCCUUCUACCUUUAUUUUGUCCCCUCUCCAUUCCAGCAUGGUAGUCUGAAGCCUAUUUCUGUAACUUCUUGAGUAUUACUGUUACUGCUAUACAAAGUAAUUGUCUCAUGUUGUAUGCAAUAUAUAUCUCACAUGUGCAAUGUUUGUUUUUACUUUGAAAUCCAUGGUCAAUGUCUUCUUUCAUGGCAGAAAAGAGGGGAUCUGAUGAUAAAAAAAGUAGUAUGAAGUCCAGUAGUCGAGAAAAACAGAGUGAAGACACAAAUACAGACUCGAAGGAGAGUGAGACUAAGAAUGAGGUCAAUGGGACCAAUGAAGACAUAAAAUCUGAAGGUGACACUCAGUCCAAUUAAAACUGAUCUGAUAUGACCUCAGAUCAGACAGAGGUAAGUGCAUUAUUUCAAACUUUGAUUAGGGCUUUUUGUUACUGUUUAACAGUGCAGCGUAAGUAUGCACAGAUGAAGAUGGAACUAAGUCAAGUAAGAAGACAAACUAAAGCACCUUCUGAAGGAAAUGACAGUGUAGUCCUGCAAAACAUUUUGAGGUACAUUGUUUUGUCUCAGCUAUUUUGUAGCAGACUCGUGCCCCCAUUAGUGUGCCUCUUUGGGACAUAUUUGUAAUAUAGUCACCAUAGAAAAAUUAAUGAUUUUUUUUUUAUUUUUAGGGAUUUUGUUUCGUUUUUUUUAAAAAAAAAGUUGAACUGGUUUUGUAUUUAAGUCCAUAUUGUGUUGGUACAUCAGCAGAAACUUUUGCUUAAAUACUUAAUAUCUGAGGCACAUGUUGGACUACUUUGUUUUCAUAUAAACUGCUAGUAUUUCUUUGUCAAGGAUGUUUCUAGUUUUUUUGCUUUAUUGCCUUGCAUUCUAAUGCAGUUUGUUCUGUAACUCGAGAGCCAGUAGCAUUGGAUUGAUGGAAGUGUAGGGUUUAUGAAUUAUUGCAGCUGACUACCAUACCUCACACAGCGUUGGUGUUGUGAGCGGCCCAUGAAAAGCCAAAUUAAAAAUCAAGGAUUCAGUCAAACUAAGCAGGUACUCAUGCCAGGUACUCCUUUCUCUACCCACAUCCAUGUUUGAAUGCUGUUGCCUGUAAUCUUUAAGCUUACUGUUGUGUUUUUGAUUUUGAAGCUAGUGAAAAGGACUUUUUGUGUAUUGUGUGAAUACUGUAAAUCUGAUGUUAACAGAAUGGAAUUUUCUUUCAACUGUGUGUAGGGAUGCAGUGCUGCCCAGAAUUAGAUAUCUUUAAAGAGUUUAAAAUGCAAUAAACACUACAUAAUAUUCGCCUUGUUACUUUCAAUGCAAUUCAAGUCUUUAAGAGGUAUGUGUUUAAUAUUUCCUACUGUGUAGGAGACUUUGCAGUCAGCCGUAGCACAGAACAGUGGAAUGGCUGAUGACAGGCUUGUAAGGCAAAUGUAAAUGCAGAGACAGAUGCCACCAAAUGAUGACAGUGUUGAUGGCAGGAAUGUAUGCUGGAAACUGUUUGUGGGAUAUGAAGCAGCUAAGCAAUAGGCAAUUCCAAUACUGUAUUGAAAGGACAACUUGAAGUUUUUUCCCCGCUCUUUCUUACAGAAGGUCUUUAGUUGUAUUCCUGAAAUAAGGAACUAAAAGUGGAGAUACCAACUGAUAAAUGAGCUUCUUGUAACAUAAUUUGUUACUGUAGUUGCAUUAUGUAUGCUAGGAGCUCUUAAACAUUUAAUGUUGAUAUUAAACCAUUAAUGCUAUGUCAUUGCUUCUGAAGUUAGUCAUGUUCAUUGAUGUUUUUGUAGAGUUAAGAUGACAGCUAACAACUGGGCGAGUGUAUAGGAAUGGUAACCAAAAAGCUCUUAAUGCUGUCUAAUCGUCUGUUCUCCCAAAAUUUUGCAUUAUAGGACUACUACAUGAAGAGUCUGUGAAGACAGCGGAAGACAGCUUAAACUGAAGAUCUGCUUUAAAAUGAGGUGAAAGAAAGCUGUAGUGACGUAGAAAAAUAUAAAGUUGAGUUAGAAUUUUUUUAAAAAAAAAUUUAAUUCAGGACUGGUGUUUCCUCCCAGAGUUCAGAAAGAUGUGUUGAUAAUAGCACAUAUGCUACUGAGAAUAUAAGUCCUGUAUCCUUUUUUUUUUUUCUUUAAGACUUUUUAAGAUAAGAAACCAACAUAACCUGAACACAUGGCUUGCUCAGUGUUUAAUUGCAAGUUUUCAUUCUUGGACUUUAAAAUACAAGAAUAAAUGUUUAGUAUUUGUGUGAAUCAAACUAAAAUGAAUCCCAUUUUUACAACUAAGCAAUUCCUAGCUUCUUGAUAUAUGAGAAAUGGAAAUAAAGUAUCUUUGAAUUUCUGUUACAAA